ensembl:rRNA 5S_rRNA 5S ribosomal RNA
GCUUACGCCCAUACCACCCUGAGAACGCCCGAUCUCGUCUGAUCUCGGAAGCUAAGCAGGGUCGGGCCUGGUUAGUACUUGGAUGGGAGAGCGCCUGGGAAUACCAGGUGCUGUAAGCU